AGCUAGAGAUCUCAUAUCUUCACUUUAAAACUUACUAAUGAGAUAGGUAUAAUAAUAGUUGGAGUAAGCUGAAUUUGCUUGCUCAAAUCACUAAGGCUUGCUAUUUAUGAAACAGACAGUUAAGAUUUCUUGACAAAUUCUGAAGGACCCAUCAGGAAGAGCUUGGUGUAGGGAA